GCAUUAAUGGGGUAGUGGUAACCUGGGUCGUUGCCAUCUGAGCAUAGCUCGACCCGCCGGGGGUUCGAUUCCCCCUUAAUGCA